rfam:Gossypium arboreum cultivar AKA8401 contig_1252_5, whole genome shotgun sequence.
AUACCAUGGUGAUAACAUUUUUAUAAUAACUCUUUGAACCACUCUCAUACGUCAUACAGAUAUUCAUCAUGAAGUUGUUGAAAUGUAGUGAUCUCAUUCUGAAGUUU